CAACGAGCGGUGGGCCCCAUUCCUCACUACUCAUAUGAACCCUCAGAUAUCGAACUCUCAAUUGCCCGUAUACCGCAUGUGCGCUGGGAAAUGCAUUCCUUCCGUCCCCAGCAGUUGAGCGCCAGUUUCGUGGAUAACAUCUUCCGCGCUGGCAUAUGCGGCAUUCGUUGAAGUCAUGUCCAGUCGUGCGCACAUGCAGGUCACUAAAUGUGCAAAUGGCAGCGUGUGCCAGACGCGCUUUUCUAUCAAUCUGAGUGGAUUUCAUUUCAUCACGCCCAAGCAAUCCUUCGCAUGCUCUGUGGCGAAUAGGAAGAAACUUGUUCGCCCUGCCACCCAAGAUCUCGUCCUUGCCACUGAUGCGGUAUGCUCUACGAGGAAUGUGGGUAAAGCGCAUAAUCGGCAAGAGAACACCACCUAAUCGACGAAGCAGGUGGGUGAAGUUUGAUGCGGUGAAAGGAGGUGUCAUGGCAAAACUGAAAAAGGAUUGGGGAUCCUUGAGGCCCCAGCUGCGCUUCAAGGUCACCUCAAGGGAGAUACUGUAGAUUCAAGAGGGCUUAUGAUUUAUAAUGAAAAGGCGAGGCCUGAACUCAUAAAUUCAAUAAUGAUGAAUGACUGCUUUAUUGCAAACCGUGUCGAGCUCACCUCACAAAGUCACACAGUUUGUUUUGGCGCUCUCGAUCAGCUGAGCUGCAUCGCAGUAACUGAGCAGGAACAACUGAGGAGCAGAGACACGAUGCAAAUAUGCUGCUCCGGCUAUAUGAGCAAGGGGGAUGCGAGAAAUAUCUAGGAGUCACCAAAAUUGAUGACAGAGAUUCAGGUGAAAGCUUUGCUUUUUGCCGCCGCCUGGGAAGCGAUUGAGCGUCGAACAUUGCAGAAAAUAUCGGCUUUUACACUAGCACGGCAAGGGAUAUACUGCACACCAUUGAACUUCGUCGUGAAGUGCGCCUCCGAUGUAAGCUUGACUGGGUGAAUCUGUAACUAUGAAAU
rnacentral:sRNA from 1 species